AUGGAUCCAACUGAAAACCCAGGGAACCGCAUUGGUCGCACUAUUUGGACUGUUUGGGGUUAUCUGUCAGGGGCUGUUGCAAGAUUUCUCAGACCGGAAGUCACAGAUGAAGGAAACCAAGGUGUUCGUACCAGAACAGAUGAUAUUGACUUGAAAAGUGCAGUUAACAAGAUUGACAGAGAAGUAACGGCAAAAAAUAGCAACAAUGAAGGGAAGGAAACAAAUCAAAUUGACAGUGCAGAGGUCAAGUGUUCCCCAUCUAAAGUCAGAGUGCAAGUGGCUUCUGUACAGUGGGAAAACACUGAUGUGGUCAAGGAUGACAAUAAUGAUGAACUUCAUGUUCACACCACAAAAAAACAAACUUACCAUUGUGCAGUGUGGUCCCCUGGGACUGAUACAGACAACGAAGGAUGCAUGGUUGACGCACUUGUUGAGAAAGAAGCAGUCUCAUCUGAUGAGGUUCAGGCUGAAAAUAUAUAUGCGAACAAUGAGUUUAAGGAGAGUGAAACUGCACACGAGUUGGAAGAAACUGGAAAGAUUGAACAAAAAUAUGGUGACAAUGAAGAUAUAGAAGAACGUGAUCAGAAUCAUAAGGGUGAAAAGUGUGCAAAGAAUAGAAAAGAUGCAUAUGAGACAGAUGUAAUGGUCCAAUUUGAUCAAGAUGUAGAACAGGAAAAGCAGAUAAACAUGGCGGACCAUGGAGAGACAGAAGGCAUUGCAGGUUUUAAACAUGCAGAUACACAUCUUAUUGAUGAACAAAUUGUUGACCAGAAGGAUCGGGGGGGAAUUGCUUACGUCUCUAAAAACGAGGUUGAGGAGAUGAUGCCUGAAACUAGAGGUGCGACUGAGCAGGAUAAGGAGAAGAAAACUGUACAGGACUUGGAAGAAAUUGGGCAGCUUGAACGAAACGAUGGUGACAAUGAAGAUAAAGAAGAAUGUGAUCAGAAUCAUGAGGAAGAAAAGUGUGCAGUGGAGAGUGAAGAUCUGGAUAAUGCAGACGUAAAGGUCCAAUCUGAGCUUUAUGGACAAGAUGUAGAACAUGAAAUGAAGAUAAGCAUGAUGGACCAUGCAGAGAAAGAAGGUAUUGGAGGUUUUAAACAUUCAGAUGAACAUCCAAUUGAUGAAGAGGAGAACAAUUUAGACCAGAAGGAUCAGGAGAAAACUGAGAAUGAUGAAGAACAAGGACUUGAAUCACAAGUUCAAGAUCUGCAGAAGAGUGAAGAUCCAGAUAAUGCAAAUGUAAUGGUCCAAUGUGAGCAAGAUGUAGAACAAGAAAAGAAGAUAAAUAUAGUGGACCAUGGAGAGACAGAAAGAAUUGCAGGUUUUAAACAUGCAGAUGAACACCUUAUUGAAGAAAAGGAGAACAAUUUAAACCAGAAGGAUCAGGAGAAAACUGAGAAUGAUGAAGAAAAAGGACUUGAAUCACAAGUUCAAGAUUUGCAGAAGAGUGAAGAUCCAGAUAACGCAGACAUAUUGGUCCAAUGUGAGCUUUAUGGACAAGAUGUAGAACAAGACAAACUGAUAAACAUGAUGGAUCAUGGAGAGACAGGAGGCUUUGGAGGUUUUAAACUUUCAGAUGAACAUCUUAUUGAUGAAAUAGUGGAACAAACUGUUGACCAGAAAGAUCGGGGCAGAACUGAGAAUGAUGAAGACCAAGGAACUGAAUCACAAGUGCAAGAUUUGCUGCCACAGCUGGAAUAUUUAAAAAAAUAUUCUGAUGAAAUUGCUUGCAUAUCUAAAAACGAGGUUGAGGAGAUGAUGCCUGAAACUAGAUGUGCGACUGAGCAGGGUAAGGAGAAGGAAACUGUACAGGACUUGGAAGAAAUUGGGCAGCUUGAACAAAACGAUGGUGACAAUGAAGAUGAAGAAGAAUGUGAUCAGAAUCAUGAGGAAGAAAAGUGUGCAGUGGAGAGUGAAGAUUUGGAUAAUGCAGACGUAAAGGUCCAAUCUGAGCUUUAUGGACAAGAUGUAGAACAAGAAAUGCAGAUAAGUGGGAUGGACCUAGCAGAGGAAGAAGGCAUUGGAGGUUUUAAACAUUCAGAUGAACAUCCUAUUGAUGAAAAGAAGAACAAUUUAGACCAGAAGGAUCAGGAGAAAACUGAGAAUGACGAAGAACAAGGACUUGAAUCACAAGUUCAAGAUUUGCAGAAGAGUGAAGAUCCAAAUAACUCAGACAUAUUGGUCCAGUCUGAGCUUUAUGGACAAGAUGUAGAACAAGACAAACUGAUAAGCAUGAUGGAUCAUGCAGAGAAAGAAGGAACUGGCGGUUUUAAACAUUCAGAUGAACAUCUUAUUGAUGAAAUAGAGGAACAAAUUGUUGACCAGAAGGAUCGGGAGAGGGCUGAGAAUGAUGAAGACCAAGGACUUGAAUCACAAGUACAAGAUUUGCAGAAGAGUGAAGAUCCAGAUAAUGCAGACAUAAUGGUCCAAUGUGAGCAAGAUGUAGAACAGGAAAAGCAGAUAAACAUAGUGGAACAUGGAGAGACAGAAGGCAUUGGAGGAUUUAAACAUUCAGAUGGACAUUCUAUUGAUGAAAAGGAGAAACAAAAUGUUGACCCUAUGGAUCAGGAGAUGACUGAGAAUGAUGAAGAACAAGGAAUUGAAUCACAAGUGCAAGAUUUGCUACCACAGCGGGAAUAUUUUACAGAGGAAGCCGAUGACCUUGCAAAGCCUGAAAUGCUGAAUUUAAUGGAAAAAUAUUCUGAUGAAAUUGAUGAAUUCUCUAAAAAAGGGGUUGAGGAGGUGAUGCUUGAAACUGAGCAGGAUGAAGACACCACAGAAAGUGAACACGACACGACUAAAUAUGAGCUAAUGGAGUCAGUAGAAACCCUGCAGAAAGUUUCCGAAGAACUAUCUGAAAAAAAAGUACCAAAUGUUGAACUGAAAAUGACCACAGUAGUGGAUGAGUUUUUUGAAACCGUUUAUACAUUAGAAGACUCCCUGCUGUCGGAUUCAAAACAGGAUACUUCAGAAAAAACUCCUGAAACAGGAACUGGGUCAUCUAUGGUGGCCAUGAAAACUGAGGGCAUGGUUUCAGAUCUAAUUGUUUGUGAGUUCCCAGGAGAAUCGAGCAAAGGGCCAGAGACUGCAUUGGCGGAGACUGAUUUGGGAUGUUUUGAGGAGAUCAAAAGUAACCUACAUGAUCCCCAAACUCUUGCAGAAGAGCAAGCAGAAAGGGAAGCUGUGGUCGUAUGCUCUGUUGAGCACUCUGAGACCCUGAAAACAGUUGAGACUGAACAAGACAUUGAAACCUUAAUCGAAUCCUUGGGUACAACAGAAAGUCAUGCACAUCAGGAAAUAGACAAAACCAAGUUCUCACACAAAGAACAUGUUGAAUUAAGAACUGAACUGAGCGAAGAAACAACUGAUACAAAGAUCAGUUCAGAAGAUGAGGAAGCAGAACCCUCCGAGAAAGAAGGUCAAUCAUUAGUCAUCAGAAAUGUCACUUUACAGUCACAUGAGCUUCUUGAGUUCAAAGAAGGUGAAUGCAAAUCAUCUCUAGGAACAAUGGACACAUUCAGUGAAUCACUAGGAAAUUCAAGUGUGUCUGAAAUCGCUGAAAAUGCAGAGAUUGAACAUGUUGCAGAGGAGCAAACAGAUGUGAAACCUGUAUUAACAAGGUCUUUAAGUUCAGCCGGGUUUCUGGAGGAAACUGUACAUCUGCAGGAUGUAUCAGAGCGACGCACCGAAGAGCAGGAGAUCCUGGAGACUGCUUUAGAGUAUGUAGAAGGAAUAACAAAUCAAGUCUUGAAGGAUAUGAUAGAAACAGAAGUUAACUUAGUACAAGAAACAGAACCUUUGGCAGGACCUUCAUCAGAAGAACCUGGUGAUGCAGAAUAUCAGGGACCUGCACAAUGUGUGUCAGCUGAUGCCUUUGUCCUGGAAGAAGAAGGGAAGUUAUUGGGUGAGACAAUGGAAAGUAAGGUAGAAAUGGAGGUGGAAACCACAAGUAGUGAAGUUCUUAAACAAACUGAGCAACAUAUUAGUUCACCAGUGUGUGAAACGACUGAAGCUGAUGGAUGUCGUGAUAUUGCUGGAGCAACAGUGUUGAGUAGUCAUGAAGACUUAAUGGAAGUCAGCAGACCUGGGAUGAAAAGAGGAUUUGAUCAAGUGAACAAAGACCUUGCAGAGGUGAAGACGGAACGAAAAUUUGAUUUGUAUCUACAGGCAUUUGAGGAAUCAUCAUUGGACUUUACCAUUCAGAAGACUCGAAUUGCUGUGAAAAAUCCCCUAGUUCGGCCUCCUAAAGACCCCAGAAGGCUCCUCUUCAAGGCCUCAGUCGAACCUCUUGUCUCACAGCCUUCACCGCGUAGUCAGAAGGUUGAAGUCUCUGUUCCAAGUAAAGGGGUGACUGGAUUUAAACUUCCAGGACUGGGUGCAGAGCUGCCAGUACUGAGAAAAACUGAGUUUGGGAAGAAAACAAGAGAAGGAGGAGCAGCAGAGAGAACACUACAACCACAGCAAAAGUCAGUUGCAGUAACAGAGGAUUCUGUCAAACAAGAGCAAGCGCCAGUGCCAGUGCCAGCUAAACCCAAAUGGACACCGCCAAAGCAUCCUGGUAUGGGAAGUCCCUUCAUGAUGGCAGAACUCAAAAGCAAACUCAAAAAGCCUGUUCAGGAGUAA
ensembl:lncRNA